GAUGAAGAACGCAGCGAAAUGCGAUAAGUAAUGUGAAUUGCAGAAUUCAGUGAAUCAUCGAAUCUUUGAACGCACCUUGCGCCCUUUGGCCAUUCCGAAGGGCAUGCCUGUUUGAGUAUCAUGAACACCUCAACUCUUUAUGGUUUUCCAUGAUGAGCUUGGACUCUGGGGGUUUUGCUGGCUCACAGUCGGCUCCUCUAAAGUGAAUCAGCUUACCAGUGUUUGGUGGGUAUCAUGGGUGUGAUAACUAUCUACGCUUGUGGUUUUUCCACCAGGUAACCUUCAGCAGUGGAGGUUCGCUGGAGCUCAUAGAUGUCUCUCCUCAGUGAGGACAGCCCUUUGAAUGUUUGAUCUCAAAUCAGGUAGGACUACCCGCUGAACUUAAGCAUAUCAAUAAGCGGAGGA
rnacentral:misc_RNA from 1 species